rnacentral:tRNA from 1 species
UCUUCAUUAGUAUAACGGUUAGUAUAACCGCUUCUCAGUUUAGGAGUUCCGACUCCGGCUGUUCGCGGUAGACCAGGGUUCAACUCCCUGAUGGAGAA